rnacentral:rRNA from 1 species
GACGAACGCUGGCGGCGUGCUUAACACAUGCAAGUCGAACGAAGUGGCGAAUGGGUGAGUAAUACGUGGGUAACCUGCCCUCCUUUUUGGGAUAAGCCUUGGAAACGGGGUCUAAUACCGACUAAAGGGGGCUGGGCUCGCCGCCUAUCAGCUUGGUGGUGGGGUGAUGGCCUACCAAGGCGGUGACGGGUAGCCGGCCUGAGAGGGUGACCGGCCACAUUGAGACUGAGGUACGGCCCAGGCGCCUACGGGAGGCAGCAGUGGGGAAUAGUGCACGAUGGGCGCAAGCCUGAUGCAGCCAUGCCGCGUGUAUGAAGAAGGCCUUAGGGUUGUAAAGUACUUUCGGCGGGGAGGCGUUACCCGCAGAAGAAGCACCGGCUAACUCCGUGCCAGCAGCCGCGGUAAUAC